UCUUUUAUUUUUUCUG
rnacentral:misc_RNA from 1 species